rnacentral:rRNA from 1 species
ACGGAGGGUGCAAGCGUUAAUCGGAAUUACUGGGCGUAAAGCGCACGCAGGCGGUCUGUCAAGUCGGAUGUGAAAUCCCCGGGCUCAACAUGGGAACUGCAUUCGAAACUGGCAGGCUAGAGUCUUGUAGAGGGGGGUAGAAUUCCAGGUGUAGCGGUGAAAUGCGUAGAGAUCUGGAGGAAUACCGGUGGCGAAGGCGGCUCGCUGGACCGCAACUGACGCUGAGGAACGAAAGCUAGGGGAGCAAACAGGA